AAAGCGUUUCGUUCUCGCCUUCAUCUUCUUUCUCCAUUCUCUAUCUUUCGUUUGACGUUGUCCCUCUCCUCUCUAUCUCUCUCGAAAACUCUAAUCCCCUAAUUCCCGUUGUUCUCUCCUCGAUUGGCUAUUCUCUCCUUCUGACCUGGAUCAUUUCUCUCUUUUCCGGAGGCAUUGUGGAGGCCACGGAAGAAACCAUUAUGGC